rnacentral:rRNA from 1 species
AUUGAACGCUGGCGGCAUGCCUUACACAUGCAAGUCGAACGGCAGCAUGGGUGCUUGCACCUGAUGGCGAGUGGCGAACGGGUGAGUAAUGCAUCGGAACGUACCCGGAAGUGGGGGAUAACGUAGCGAAAGUUACGCUAAUACCGCAUAUUCUGUGAGCAGGAAAGCGGGGGAUCGCAAGACCUCGCGCUUCCGGAGCGGCCGAUGUCGGAUUAGCUAGUUGGCGGGGUAAAGGCCCACCAAGGCAACGAUCCGUAGCGGGUCUGAGAGGAUGAUCCGCCACACUGGGACUGAGACACGGCCCAGACUCCUACGGGAGGCAGCAGUGGGGAAUUUUGGACAAUGGGGGCAACCCUGAUCCAGCCAUGCCGCGUGAGUGAAGAAGGCCUUCGGGUUGUAAAGCUCUUUCGGCUGGGAAGAAAUCGCAUCUCCUAAUACGGGGUGUGGAUGACGGUACCAGCAUAAGAAGCACCAGCUAACUACGUGCCAGCCGCCGCCGUAAAAC